rnacentral:rRNA from 1 species
AGAGUUUGAUCCUGGCUCAGGAUGAACGCUGGCGGCGUGCCUAAUACAUGCAAGUCGAACGCUUCACUUCGGUGAAGAGUGGCGAACGGGUGAGUAAUACAUAAGUAACCUGGCAUCUACAGGGGGAUAACUGAUGGAAACGUCAGCUAAGACCGCAUAGGUGUAGAGAUCGCAUGAACUCUAUAUGAAAAGUGCUACGGGACUGGUAGAUGAUGGACUUAUGGCGCAUUAGCUGGUUGGUAGGGUAACGGCCUACCAAGGCGACGAUGCGUAGCCGACCUGAGAGGGUGACCGGCCACACUGGGACUGAGACACGGCCCAAACUCCUACGGGAGGCAGCAGUAGGGAAUUUUCGGCAAUGGGGGAAACCCUGACCGAGCAACGCCGCGUGAAGGAAGAAGUAAUUCGUUAUGUAAACUUCUGUCAUAGAGGAAGAACGGUGGAUAUAGGGAAUGAUAUCCAAGUGACGGUACUCUAUAAGAAAGCCACGGCUAACUACGUGCCAGCAGCCGCGGUAAUACGUAGGUGGCGAGCGUUAUCCGGAAUUAUUGGGCGUAAAGAGGGAGCAGGCGGCACUAAGGGUCUGUGGUGAAAGAUCGAAGCUUAACUUCGGUAAGCCAUGGAAACCGUAGAGCUAGAGUGUGUGAGAGGAUCGUGGAAUUCCAUGUGUAGCGGUGAAAUGCGUAGAUAUAUGGAGGAACACCAGUGGCGAAGGCGACGAUCUGGCGCAUAACUGACGCUCAGUCCCGAAAGCGUGGGGAGCAAAUAGGAUUAGAUACCCUAGUAGUCCACGCCGUAAACGAUGAGUACUAAGUGUUGGGAGUCAAAUCUCAGUGCUGCAGUUAACGCAAUAAGUACUCCGCCUGAGUAGUACGUUCGCAAGAAUGAAACUCAAAGGAAU